rnacentral:rRNA from 1 species
CUUUUAAGUCAGNNAGUGAAAUCCNGAGGCUCAACCUCGGAACUGCCUUUGNUACUGGAANUCUUGAGUCCGGGAGAGGUGAGUGGAACUGNGAGUGUAGAGGUGAAAUUNGUAGAUAUUNGCAAGAACACCAGUGGCGAAGGCGGCUCACUGGCCCGGAACUGACGCUGAGGCACGAAAGCGUGGGGAGCAAACAGGAUUGGAUACCCUGGUAGUCCACGCCUUAAACGAUGAAUGCUAGCCGUUGGUCAGCUUGCUGAUCCGUGGCGCCGUUAACACAUUAAGCAUUCCGCCUGGGGAGUACGGUCGCAAGAUUAAAACUCAAAGGAAUUGNCGGAUNGG